rnacentral:rRNA from 1 species
CGAACGGGUGAGUAAUGCGUGACCAACCUGCCCCAUGCUCCAGAAUAGCUCUUGGAAACGGGUGGUAAUGCUGGAUGCUCCAACUUGACGCAUGUCUUGUUGGGAAAGUGUUUAGUGGCAUGGGAUGGGGUCGCGUCCUAUCAGCUUGUAGGCGGGGUAAUGGCCCACCUAGGCUUCGACGGGUAGCCGGCCUGAGAGGGCGGACGGCCACAUUGGGACUGAGAUACGGCCCAGACUCUACGGGAGGCAGCAGAC